rnacentral:rRNA from 1 species
GGACCUGACUGCUAUCGGAUUGAUACUAAGCCAUGCGAGUCAUUGUAGCAAUACAAGGCAUACGGCUCAGUAACGCGUAGUCAACCUAACCUAUGGACGGGAAUAACCUCGGGAAACUGAGAAUAAUGCCCGAUAGAACAUUAUGCCUGGAAUGGUUUAUGUUCCAAAUGAUUUAUCGCCGUAGGAUGGGACUGCGGCCCAUCAGUUUGUUGGUGAGGUAAUGGCCCACCAAGACUAUUACAGGUACGGGCUCUGAGAGGAGUAGCCCGGAGAUGGGUACUGAGACACGGACCCAGGCCCUAUGGGGCGCAGCAGGCGAGAAAACUUUGCAAUGUGCGAAAGCACGACAAGGUUAAUCCGAGUGGUUUCUGCUAAAGAAACCUUUUGUCAGUCCUAGAAACACUGAUGAAUAAGGGGUGGGCAAGUUCUGGUGU